CUUCUAGAAACUGCUGAGCGGCUCUGCCUCUGCUCCAGAAGGAGAGGCCGUAAUGGCUGAGGAGACAUGGAAGCAGGCAACUGGAACUGGAUGCUGAGAGAUCACACCUUCAAUCACACAUAAAAAGCAGAGAGUAUGACCUGGAAGUGGGUACCCCAGGUACCUGGAGUUUAGACUUCAGCAUAUUGUUUUGGGAUGAAAUUCACCUCACUAUAGGGAACAGGGAUGUUUUUCCCAGAAUUGAACAACAGAGGUGUCAGAAAGUAAGACCUGGAUGCUGGAGAGCUGGCUCAGUGGAGCCCUCAUCCAGUGGCUGAUGGAAGCAGAGACAGACAUCCACAGAUAUACAUUGAACUGAACUCUGGAACUUAACUGCAGAGAGGGAGGAAUGAAGAUUGAAGGGGUCGGUACCAGGCUGGUGAAACCCUCAGAAACAGCUGGCCUGAACAAGGGGGAGCACAUUGACCCCAGACUGCUGUCUGGGAGGCCAGUACAGGACUGAUCCAGACCUCUGAACAUGGAUGUCAGUAAGGAGGCCUCUGGACUCUAGGGGGCCCCUAAUAGUGGAUUAGUAUUUUUCCCUGGAGUAAGAAGGUGCUUUGAGAGCCCAUCCCAUGUGAAGGGAUGCACUCUUGGCCUGGGCACAUGGGGAAGAGCCUAGGCCCGGCCCAGGAUGAUGUGGUAGACUUUGGGGAGCCCCCAUUGAGGGCCCUACCCUGCCUGGGG
rnacentral:lncRNA from 1 species